UGAGGAAUAUUGGUCAAUGGACGCAAGUCUGAACCAGCCAAGUAGCGUGCAGGAUGACGGCCCUAUGGGUUGUAAACUGCUUUUAUAUGGGGAUAAAGUGGGGAACGUGUUCCCUUUUGCAGGUACCAUAUGCAUAAGGACCGGCUAAUUCCGUGCCAGCAGCCGCGGUAAUACGGAAGGUUCGGGCGUUAUCCGGAUUUAUUGGGUUUAAAGGGAGCGUAGGCCGUUUGGUAAGCGUGUUGUGAAAUGUAGGAGCUCAACUUCUAGAUUGCAGCGCGAACUGUCAGACUUGAGUGCGCACAACGUAGGCGGAAUUCAUGGUGUAGCGGUGAAAUGCUUAGAUAUCAUGAAGAACUCCGAUUGCGAAGGCAGCUUACGGGAGCGCAACUGACGCUGAAGCUCGAAGGUGCGGGUAUCGAACAGG
rnacentral:rRNA from 1 species